UACGAUUAUUGCUGUUCCAUCCUCUCCCUGACAUCAGCCAAUGUCCAAAGCCGGCAGUGAAUGUCAAUCCUAAAGUCUCCUCCUUAUGGAUAUAUGCACAACGACAGUGGAUCGGUAUUUCAGUGUUUCAGUGUAUCAUCGGAAAUUGUAUGUCAUGUUACAAGUGCUGCACCAAAUGCGUGUGUGACUAUUUCGACUAUUCCUCCGAGGAACAUGGAUGAUAAAGCGUGGUUGAAGGCCAAGCAGAUCAACGAGGCUAUCAAGGCAUUAAAGAUGACUUAUGCGGUGAAGAUAUGCAAUGUUUGUCGUGUUUUCUGUAGAGGCCGUGGGCAGAAAGAUAGCAGCCAGGAUGAAAGGCCAGCGAAAACAGACUUGGUUAGCCGCAAUGAUGGAUUGCACCCGACUUUGGAAGGAAGCAAGGUGUUGACACAGCUUGUGAAGAUUGCUCUCAAGCUACCAGGGGCUCGUACAUCGAAAGUUGAAGAUGUGGUUGUUCAAUAUCCAUAUUCGGUCUGUCAGGUGUGCAGGGCAGCAGGACAUGGUUCUGGAAAUUGUCAGCAGUUUUGGUACAAGUGAAGACUAGACUUGGGUGUUUUUAUGUGGAUGUGGUGAUUAUGAUGGUACAUGUACUUGUA